UUUUAUUUCAAGAUAAUAAUUCUUUCUUUUAAUUAAAUUAUAAUGACUAUAAUAAUUUCAUCCUCAUUAUCAUGUACUUGCUUCACUUUAAGUCUCUUAAUACAACAAAUGAAUAUUUCACAUUUUUUAAGAUAAUUAGUAUACAUUACAAAUUAGAUUAGGUUUGUGAUAUAUGUUUGACUGGUUGGUGUGUGAUAUUGUUAAUGUGGUAGUUUCUUAGUUAUAUUAACGCCUCUAACAAUCCUACAUUUAGAUGCUGAUGUGGUAUUAUUUUUUGUUGUACUUGUAAUUUAGUUUUUGAAUUUAUAUAGUGUAGGAUUGAUGAUGUGUUAAAUUUUUGUUGGUUUGUAAUUUAUUCUAGGUUGGCGCAAAAUGAGAUUGAUACAUGUCGUUUUUGAGUUGUUUGUUGGUUGUUUUAUAUUGGAAUGACACAAUGCCUAGGUUGAUGUUGUGUUGUUUUUAUAUUAUUUAUAUUGUAUAUAUUUUAAAUUUUAGUUUUGGAGUUAUUAGUUUAUUAGUUGUUUAAUAAAAAAAAGAAUGUAUGUUUAGUUGUUUGUUAGUUAUUUGCAUGUAAAAAUGUAAACAUAUUUGUAUUGUUGUUACGUUCUUUAAUUUAUAAUAAUAUAUUUUUAUAUAAUUUUAGAUAAAUAUUUAGUUUUUAAAUGUGUAUUUUAGGUUAAUUUCAAGUUUAUUUAUAUAUUUUAAAUAAGUUUAGGUAUAUUUUGAACCGUGUGUCAUUUUGAAUUUAACUCAUCAUCAUGAUUUUUCUCAAACUAUUUAUUUUCCUUUUUAAUUUAAUGAGCUUUUUUUGCUAGGUAAAAUAUAAUGAGUUUAUAUUAAUGAUUUGUAAUUUUUUUUUGAAAUGUAUCAUUGUGAAUAUAUUUUUGUUGUUAUUAAAUUAUUAGUUAGUUGAUUUAAAAUUGUCAUCUAGUUGUUUAACAAAUAUUAAAAUUAUAUAUGUUUAGUUUUUAUGGUGUAUAAAUAAUAUUUUAUAUGUGUUUUUAUCUUAUUAAAUUAUUUUUGUAUUUAUUAAGUUGUUGACUCAAUUUAUUAUGUCUAAUUUAUUUGCAUAUUAACACUACUACAAAAUAAUGAAUUCGCGAUGGUCCCAAAAAUAAUUUUUUUCGGGGACCGUCGUUAAAAAAAUUAAGCAAUUAUUUAAAACUGUUGAGAAAAAUUAGUAUUCUCGACGGUUUAUAACUGUGCCUAAAAAAUUAGGCGACAUUUUUUAGGAAAAAAAAUAUAUGGGCUUAUACCCGACGGUUCAAAACCGUUAGGUAUAGUAUAGCCGACGGAAAGUUGCUUCGGGCCACAUUGUCAAGGAAAAAUAUUUAAAAUAUGGAAAGUUUUCCAUUAACAUGGAUGAAUACCUAUACAAAGAUUAUCGUCGGGUAUUUAUCGAAGAAGCCAAUGUGGAGAAUGCACUACUACUCCCAUGUUCCAUAGCCGACGAUUCAUUGACGACAAUAGGUCAAGUUGUAAAAUAUUAUAUAGUAUGACCGAAAGACUAUCUUACACCUCUUGGAAAAUGAUUGACACAACCACCCAUGAGAAAUUUCAGAACCAACCCGUGAAGAGAAGCACAAAAGCCUUUAGAUUUACUCGGUCCUCCAACACAGCCUCUAAAACACCUUGAGAGGCCGAGUAAGGCAAAAGUUCAUGGUCGUUAUGUCCAACCAUUCCAAACUUCCUCCAUCAUUGCCUUUUGAAACUUCCUCAGAAGGUGGCCCAAGUCAUCUAUAAUCCAAUUUCAAGUUAAUAAUGAGCUAUUUGGGGGUCACAUAUGACUCUAUUUCGCUUGCUAAGAGUGACAUUUAGGAAUUGUGCACCAUACAAUACUUGGGAGCCCAACCAAUAGGAGUUUGGUGAAAUUAUGAUUUCUAACUCUUAAUAAUAAACUUGAUAAUGUUCUUUUGACAACAACGAUUAUUAAUUAUGAUUUUUUAUCAGAUACAUGAAAGAAAGAUUGUUGGACAUUGGUAGACUGAAUCAAGUAUAUGAAUUUCUGAAUCCGGGUGCGAUUGUCACUGAUGCAAGGGCUGAUAGUAAUCGUUGUAAAGCACUAGUCACUCGAAUGACUAGGAUGACUAUUUCAGACAAAUAGCUUAUUGCCCCAUAUAAUAAUUGGGACAUGUUUCACUGGAUUCUUGUACUCAUCCAACCAAGUACGCAGACGGUGGCAUACUUGGAUCCAGGCAACGACGACAUAGCGGAUGAUCUGAACUUUAUCAUAUACACGCAAGUUCUAUAUCAAACGUCCCAAUAUGUAAACUUAUUCUUUAUAUAUAAAUAUGUAUAUGCUAAUUAAAUUUACUUUUUGUGUAGAUCGUUCACCAUAUAUAACCAAAUGAUAGGACGGCCUGAUCGACCUAUCUAAUGGAUGACUCCUAUCUGUCCUCAACAAUCCGACGACAAACAAUGUGGAUACUACAUCAUGAAAUUCAUUAAAAGUUUCAUGAUCGUAGAACAUCCAAUGCAAGUACAGUUGAUCCGACAUGAUAGGUUCUCCACUCCGUACACUAAUGAUGAGAUAAAUAUUAUGCGUGAUCGGUGGAUUUAUUAAGUGAAAGUGGAAGCGGAGCGACAACAGUUUCCGUGUUAGUCAGUGUGUAUAUAUCUCGAUUUAUCGUUACUAUAUAGAUUUGUAAAUAUAUUUAAAUUAUUAUAAUUAGCGUUAACUUAAUUAUAUAUUUUUGAAUGAUAUGAGCGUUAGUUUAAUUAUUGUGACUAUACAGAAUUUUAAAUAUAUUUAGAUAAUUAUAGCGUUAGUUUAAAUAAUUGUGAAAACUAUACAGAUUUGUACAAAAUUUAAAAAUUAAUGCAGAGAAAAAAUUGCAGAAAAUCUAUUUUUCCCCUAUUUUUUAAAUGUAAUGAAUGAAAAAAACCGUCGCUAAAAAAAUUAAUAAAAAACGUAACCAGUCUAUAAGGCACGGUUUAAAACCGUUGCCUAUAACUGUUUAUAGGCGACGGUUUAUAACCGUGCCCUAUUUAACCGUCGCCUAUAGUAUAGGACACGGUUAUAAACUGUCGCCUAUACCCAUUUGUAGGCGACGAUUUUAAACCGUCGGAAAACCCACAUUAGCAACGGUUUUAAACUGUUGCCUAUUCUGUCCGUUUUACGACGGUCGUAUAGGCGACGGUUAUAGAAACUGACGGGAAUACUUUAAACGACUGUUAAAAAACGUCGAAAAUGUCUAUUUUUGUAGUAGUGUAAAGUUGAGUUGUUGUCCUUUUUUACUGUGAUGAUUUUGGAUUUAUAUACAGUUGUUCUUGCGUAUAUUUUUAGUUUAUUUUUGACACAUUUUGUUGCUGUUUUAUUUUUUAUCGGUGUAUUAUGAGUUUGAU